rnacentral:misc_RNA from 1 species
AGAAAACAAGGGGAUUAAAACGACGGAAAGGAUGGGGAGGGAAAAAGGAUCUGGGAUCAAACUCAAGGUUGACAUUGGGGUUGGCAUUGGAAUUGUCAUACUCUUCAAGAAAACCCUCGUUACAAAAAGGGCAAAGAGGAUCGGAGGAGAUGGAUACAGUAACAGUAACGGCGCGAUCACAUUGGUGGCAGAAGAAAGGCUUGUCGACGGCGGAGGACAUGGUGGUGGUGGCCAUCGGAAACAACCAAAGAAAUCCGGAGAGAAGAAGAGGAAUUAUGAUAGGGAAUUGGAAGAGACGAGAAGAAGAAUGGUUUUACAAUGGGCGAAGAGGAAGAACGGCGGAUUUGAU